AAAAAUGUCAUCCAAGAAUUUGAAUAUAGACAAUAGAUUAGUCACAGCCAAAACCAGAAAAGCCCAUGAUCAAUGUGGCCACACUACCUAAUACAGCCUCAAAUUUCAAUUGCCCCGAAUGAUAGUUGAGCAAGGCAUGUCACAAAACCAACUUCCCCCGUAAGCAGCACCUUGAUUGUCGCCUUCCUAAACCUUCUAGAAGGAGCUAAAAUUACAUUAUCUUGCAAGAACAUGUUCUUUCAUUCCCACUCUCAAACUCAUCAUCUGAUUCACCAUCAUCGCUAGGCUCAAAUUCCCGUAUCUCAAAAAGUUCUCCUCCGGUUGUGUCGGUCCACUGCACUUUCCUUUUCUCCACAGGAUUGGGGGCAUCAUCAACCUUUUCAGAAAUUGUAUCACGUUCAUUACCACCAGAAAUGGAAACACUAUUUACUGGUUUUUUUAGGCUACUCUUAAGAGCAAGCUUUGGUGAAAUAUAACUGUCCUCAACAAUAUUAACACAUUGCGGCUGAUCGCUGCCCUUGUCUGAAGCGGGACAGCUGGGCAACACUUCUGGCUGUUGGGUAGGACCAACUUUAAGGGGAGAUGGGCUCUCAGGUCCAGCGGCAGCGCGACCAAAGCAUACAAAGGAGCCGCACCCGCGGACAAGCCUGUUCUUCCCGGAAGCCAGCUGGAGAUCAGAAUCAGUUUCUUGGUCCACCAACUGGUACUGGUUCCACGGUGCAACUCUCAUGGGCUUCUCUUCGUUCUUCUGACCCAAGAGUAGAAGGGUCAGACCCUUACUAUAUCCAGAAGCUGAAGACGAGAAGAAACCUCCUCCUUCUACUGCAAAUAACAUCAGUUCUGCUCAUCUGGUCGACAUGCAAAUGCUUUUGUCUAGAGCUACUUUGACCUUUAGGGGGAACUUCAAGCACAGAUCUGAGAGCGAAUUCAAGGCAACGACAAGUUCACCGGACCGGCGAAUGCAUCGGCGAUCACUAGUGAUAGAUUGUGUAAAACAGUACGGGGAUAGGAGAACGUCGGAAUCGUGUGGUUGAGCAGAAAAUCGCCG
rnacentral:misc_RNA from 1 species